AUACUUGGGUAAUUGAGAAUAUAUUGUUGAACUGUGUGUCAUAGCUUGCUAAGGCAAACUAUAUUUUUAUACUGUAAUCACUAGCAGAGGUGUUUGUAAAGAACUUGGGCUUGGGCUUACAUUGGUGAACACUUUUGGUUGUGAGUGAAGCAUGCAUAGUGGGGAUAUAGUUGGGAGAUGUAAUGAGUUGUGGGCAGUCACAUAACGUUCUUGAGAGAGAAACUGUGUGUUAAGAUAUUGUGAAAUAUUUUAUUCUGUAUAACUCUGGGUUGAUGACAACCUGUAUUUGUGUAUUGGGUCCUGGUGAUGACGAACGUAGAUGAUGUAUUCUGGGAGUUGGCGAAGAGCGAGUCUGGUGAAUGGCGGUGGUGAUAAUGGUGAACAGAGAAGAUGAUCAGUGAAUGAUCGUGACGACGGGGUCAAUGAUUUUGACGAACGGCGAAGGUGAUCUGAGUGACCCUGACAAAGAGUGUGGAUGAUUCUGGUGAAUUAUGGUGGUAAUAAUGGUGAACUGAGAAGAUGAUCUGUGAAUGAUCCUGACAAAAAUGAUGGUGGUAAUAAUGGUGAAUGGAGGAGAUGAUCAGUGAAGGAUCGUGAUGAGGGUACCAAUGAUUCUGGUGAACGGAGAUGAUCAGUGAAUGACCGUGACGAGGGGGUUAGUGAUUCUGGUGAACGACAGGGGUUUUAAUAGUAAACGACAACGGUGAUCAGUGAAUGAUCAUUAUGAGGUGUGAUGAUUCUAGUGAAUGAUAAUGAUAAUGGGGAAUGGUGAAUGAUCAUGACAAGGGUGAUGAUGAGGGUGACUUAUGAUGAUGAAUUGUGAAAUGUGAUGAAUAGUGGAAGACAGACAUUUUAGUAUUAUUUUGUGGUUAAAAGAUUUUUACUCUAUUUAAUAGUGAUUCAUAGUUUAAUUUACAUGUGAUAUGUGUUACAUGCGUGAAAGUGCAAUAUGUAUUGGUUGGGAGGGAAGUGUUAUGUAAAUAAAUGUGUAUGAAUGA